rnacentral:lncRNA from 1 species
GAAGUCAGAGUACUCCACCAAUAGUAGGCAGAAUCACGUAGCAAGGAGAUAGUACACUUUAGGCACUCAUCGGGUGUGCAAGAUAGCUCGUCGAGUACCCGGAUAGUGUUGUCCAACCAAAAUUCAGCUUGCUCGGCAUCAUCGCUGUCCGUAGCUUUAAAUUCAGUAGCCCCAUGUUUUCGAAUUCUGUCAACUGGGGGCUUAUUUGACCUUAUUUGGUCAGUUUCCGGAGGUAUUGUAGGUGCGGGGGUUGUAUUAGUCGGGAAUGGAG